rnacentral:rRNA from 1 species
UACGUAGGGUGCAAGCGUUGUCCGGAUUUAUUGGGCGUAAAGAGCUUGUAGGCGGUUUGUCGCGUCUGCUGUGAAAUUUCGGGGCUCAACCCCGAACUUGCAGUGGGUACGGGCAGACUAGAGUGUGGUAGGCGAGACUGGAAUUCCUGGUGUAGCGGUGAAAUGCGCAGAUAUCAGGAGGAACACCGAUGGCGAAGGCAGGUCUCUGGGCCAUAACUGACGCUGAGAAGCGAAAGCAUGGGGAGCGAACAGG